ACGGGUGAGUAACACGUGGGAACGUACCCUUUGGUUUGGAAUAACGCUGGGAAACUAGCGCUAAUACCGGAUACGCCCUUUUGGGGAAAGGCUUGCUGCCGAAGGAUCGGCCCGCGUCUGAUUAGCUAGUUGGUGGGGUAAUGGCCUACCAAGGCGACGAUCAGUAGCUGGUCUGAGAGGAUGAUCAGCCACACUGGGACUGAGACACGGCCCAGACUCCUACGGGAGGCAGCAGUGGGGAAUAUUGGACAAUGGGCGCAAGCCUGAUCCAGCCAUGCCGCGUGAGUGAUGAAGGCCUUAGGGUUGUAAAGCUCUUUUGUCCGGGACGAUAAUGACGGUACCGGAAGAAUAAGCCCCGGCUAACUUCGUGCCAGCAGCCGCGGUAAUACGAAGGGGGCUAGCGUUGCUCGGAAUCACUGGGCGUAAAGGGCGCGUAGGCGACCAUUCAAGUCGGGGGUGAAAGCCUGUGGCUCAACCACAGAAUUGCCUUCGAUACUGUUUGGCUUGAGUUUGGUAGAGGUUGGUGGAACUGCGAGUGUAGAGGUGAAAUUCGUAGA
rnacentral:rRNA from 1 species